rnacentral:lncRNA from 1 species
UUGGAUUCUUGACUUCCUGAGCUUUGAAAUGGUAUAUAGCAUGUAGAAAAUGGACUUCGGGAAGUGCUCCAAAAGUGCGAAAGAAGACUGCAGCUGCUGUCCUCUGUUUUCCUCUUUGCUUCCCUUUGCUUCUCUUUGCUUCUCUCCUUUUGUUGGCUUGCUUUGGUGUAGCUAAAAGCUUGCUUUAACUUGUCCAAGAAGCUCCUCCAUCAUUUGGCAUGCUUGAAUUGAUUCAUAAGCUGAUAAAAACAUGUAAACUUGCCACAAAAUGGUUAAAAC